GAUGAACGCUGGCGGCGUGCCUAAUACAUGCAAGUCGAGCGAACGGACGAGAAAGCUGCUUCUCUGAUGUUAGAGGCGGACGGGUGUGUAAAACGCGGAUAACAUUUCUAUAAGACUGGGAUAAAUUCGGGUAAACGGCGCUAAUACCGGAUGAAAUUUUGAACCGCAUGGUUCAAAAGUGAAAGACGGUCUUGCUGUCACUAAUAGCUGGAUCCGCGCUGCAUUAGCUAGAUGGUAAGGUAACGGCUUACCAAGGCAACGGUGCAUAGCCGACCUGAGAGGGUGAGCGACUACACUGGAACUGAAACACGGUCCAGACUCCAACAGGAGGCAACAGUGGGGAAUCUUCCACAAUAGGCGAAAGCCUAGCGUAGCAACGCCACGUGAGUGAUGAAGUUCUUCUGAUCGUAAAACUCAGUUAUUAGGGAAGAACAAAUAUAUAAGUAACUAUGCACAUCUUGACAGUACCUAAUCAAAAAGCUACGGCUAACUUCGUG
rnacentral:rRNA from 1 species